rnacentral:rRNA from 1 species
GAUGAACGCUGGCGGCGUGCCUAAUACAUGCAAGUCGAGCGAACAGAUGAGGAGCUUGCUCCUCUGACGUUAGCGGCGGACGGGUGAGUAACACGUGGAUAACCUACCUAUAAGACUGGGAUAACUACGGGAAACCGGAGCUAAUACCGGAUAAUAUAUUGAACCGCAUGGUUCAAUAGUGAAAGACGGUUUUGCUGUCACUUAUAGAUGGAUCCGCGCCGCAUUAGCUAGUUGGUAAGGUAACGGCUUACCAAGGCAACGAUGCGUAGCCGACCUGAGAGGGGGAUCGGCCACACUGGAACUGAGACACGGUCCAGACUCCUACGGGAGGCAGCAGUAGGGAAUCUUCCGCAAUGGGCGAAAGCCUGACGGAGCAACGCCGCGUGAGUGAUGAAGGUCUUCGGAUCGUAAAACUCUGUUAUUAGGGAAGAACAAAUGUGUAAGUAACGAUGCACGUCUUGACGGUACCUAAUCAGAAAGCCACGGCUAACUACGU